rfam:Schistosoma margrebowiei strain Zambia genome assembly, scaffold: SMRZ_scaffold0005598
GCACUGCUGAGGAGUCCCAUACCAGGACAAAACGGCCGUCCAGUGC